UGACAUCAGAAAACGGCCCUGAUAGGGUGAGCGUUCUGCGCUGAGCGAGGCAUAGCUGUCCCGGCAGCGCCCAGCCUGAACCCUGAGUGGGCCCGAAUCAGUAGUGCUCGGGCAACUCUGCUCCUCGGAAGCAUUCAUUUGGCCCCUUUGCUUUUUGUCAGGCAGUUCCUUUCUUCAGCGUUGCACGGUCUAUGGCCCUGACUCCGGAGUCUUUCCUUCUCCCACGAAGUGCCGAGGGGAGUUCGCAAGUUCCAGACAGCAUCAGCUUUCUCUCUUUGGAACUUUCAAGGAGAAGGGGAAUUUUACGUUUGUGAGCACCGGGUGGCAGGCCUUCAUGGUGGCCUGUUGAUGGCAAGCACCAGUCUUCAACUGUAGGGACAGAUGCAAAGGGAAUCACAAGACAAAGCCUGUCUGGAACUCAACUGUGGGACGAGAUGAUCACUAGCCAAGCUGCUAGAAGCCAUACAGCGAAGACAUCGUGUGGGUCUCGUCUAGGUUACCUGCUUCCUGCUUGGCUAACAGAGAACCAAAUGAAGUCUCUUGGUGUGGCUUUUGGGACUAGUGGAGCUGAAAGGACCUCCCAGGGUGUCCUUAUCUGAAGCACUGAUGCUUGUUUGGAGUGGAGGGGAGAACAAGAAUAGAGGAGCCAGUGGGAGAAUUUCAUGACUCAAAAGAAGUGAAUGAAUGUAAAAAUGAACAGAGGAUGGGCAAGAAGGAAGCAGCAGGCUGUUUGACUCUGUCCAACCCAGUGAUGACAGAGACUGGAAAGAGCCACCCUCCCAGGUGAGCCCUUUGCCUCAAUCCACGGAGCCACGAAGCCGUCUGUGAGCGGCAGGCAGGACCCUGGCAGAGGCAUGCCAGAGCUUUUGGGACAAUGGCUAGAGCCUUGUGAAGAUCUCCAGAAAUCUCUCUCUCUCUCUGUCAGACAAAACAGUUUAGCCAUUUAGGCUAAUAAGAUAACAUCUGGAGUUCCACAAUCAAAGUUUCAUCUCUAGCCAGCAGCUGGAGUCGCUGACGUCAGCCCUGUACACUACUGUAAAUGGAGGAUGGGAAGGCAGGUUUUGACAGAAGAGAUCGAACCUGAGCCCCGAAGAUGAAAGAUUUUCAGGGACCUGGUGGUGAGGAGAGGGAUGAAUGACCAGAGACAACAGAGUUGCUACCAAGUUGCCUGAGGGCAGUUUUGCAGAGUUCUAACACAUUAUUAGGUGUUUGGCUAUUAACAGAAAUGUCUCACCCACUCGGUCUGACGGUAGCAGCAGCAUCAGUGAGAUGGCUGCAUUAGGCGGCUAAAUCCAUAACCGCUGGCCUCUCACAUCGGGGAGCUUGGCUAAUCCUAACAUUAACAGGUUGCAGGACCUCAUCAACAGUGCCUGCUGCAGAGUGAAGGAUGCUGUUCCCGGGAUCCGGAGGAGACCUAGGGAGCUCUGGGGGAUGGAAGUGCUCAUUCUUACCGGAAAGUCCCCUGAGAGCAGCGGGCUGUUAAAGGAUCAAUGUGGGGGCAUUUUUCUUCAGUCUUACAGGCUGCAUAUUUCCUGGUUAUAAUAGUUCGGAGAAAAAUAUUGCUAAAUGGCUGCAUAAACAAUUUUAAUUGGCCUGGGCUCCCAAAAUGUGCUAUUUUUGUUCUGUUGCCAAGCAUGCUUUUUUACUAGCUAAUUAUGCCCAGCAUUUAACUUUCGACAGAAAAAAAAAGAGAGAAAAGAAAAGAAACAGGAAACAAGGCAUUCAUUAUUGGAGUGACAGCUUUUCGACAAGCCCACAUUUCAACAUCCAUUGUGUAAUUUCCUCUCCCCAGCUUACAGUUAGCUGUUCCAUGAGGCCACUGGAAACAAACACCUCCUUCAGUGGGGGCUGGGAGGUGGCAUGUGCAAUUCAAAAUGCCUGUUUGUUUUCACCUCAGGCAGAGGGACAGGUUCCCUCAGGCCACUGGAGCCCACCUUCUGAAUCUCUGCCUUGUUGGGCUCCUGGCAGAAAUUUCCCAACUAAGGUUUCUGCUGGGUGGUUUGCAACUAAGCCUGGGCUCCGCUGUCAGGGCCUGGGCUCUGCCUGUUGUCCAUGCAACACUUCAAGGCUCCUGGGAAUUUAGGUUUCUUUCAGAGGGACACUUUUUUCCUUCCAGUGAAAUUAUAAAACACAGCUAAUUCCAGUUUGUUAGGUACCUAGUUUCAGAAAAUGAAGUUAGGCUACUUUGUGAGGCUCAUUUUCAACUUACUAUGUGAUAAUUAUCACAGUGUCUGUUGUAUACGCAUAGAAAGCACACAGAUGAUGAAGUAUAUAGCUCAAAUACCAUGGGACUCCCCCAAGGGUCAAUAAUAUAAUUGUUUCCAGUACCCUGAGUGGGAUCCUCAUUACCCUUGUCCAAUCACUAUUUUCCCUUCUUUUUCAAAGAUUCUAAUGUUAUUUAAACUUCAUAUAAAUGGAACCAUAUAAUAUGUGGUGUGUAUAUUUUUAUUUUAAUGUAUGGUAUCUGUUAUUCUACUUGGCUUUGUGCCUCAUAGCUGUACCUCAUUCAGUGUUAUUACUACACACACACACACACACACACACACAUACACACACAUAUUCUAUAUAUCAAUAAAAUGUGGGUUAUCCAUCUAGCAAUAAAGGACAUAGAGGAUUUUUUUUGUAGUCAUUCUGAUUGAUGCAUCUUUGAAUUAGUUCACAUGCUCACACAUUCUGGCUGAGCAUCAGUGAGAAGCUGAUAUGUGGGUCAUGCAUAUAGUUGGGGUUCAUGUUCAAAUUUUACAACUUAGGUCAAACAGUUUGCAAAGUGGUGCAUGCACGUGAGUCCUAUUCCCCUUCCCUAUCAACACUCGGUACUAUUCAUUGUUUUAGCUGUGGCAGUUUUUUGUUGUAUCUCAGUGUUUUAAGUUGCCUGCCAUCCCUAGAUAUUAGCAUGGAAGAGCACAUCUUUAUGUGUGUAUUCAUUAUUCUAUUUAGAAUAGUAGUUGAAAAAUAGUUACAAGUAAUUGAAAUCAGGAAAACAUUACUGCAGAAGGAGAGAGAUUGCUUGGAAGUGCUCUAUUGAAUUAGAGAACUUUCGAGCCCUCAUGGCAGACCAUAGCUGUGCUGGGUAAUGUGGGGGACUCACAAAAGUUCAUCACUGGUUCGCCAGCAAUAUCCUUUAAAGAAAUAAGUCAUUGAUGUCUUCCUAGGUCUUGAAUGUCAAUAUUCUUCUUUGGGUGCUAGGGAUGAAAGCAAGGGUUUUGUGCAAGCACUCUGCCCCUGAACUGCAUUCCAGGCUGCACAUCAAUUAAAGUUUUUUUUUGUUAUUGCAUUUAUUUUACGUGUGUGUGUUAUGUACAUGUUUCUGUGAAUGUGUGUAUGUGUGUGUGCCUCAGAGAAUCUCCUAAAGCUUGUAGAAUUUAUUAAUCCAAACAUAUACUUUCAAGUUUUUCAUUGUUACAUUAAAACCCCUUAUGAGUUCAUGUUUGGGUACAUUUGCAAAGGUCAGACUAUUUCAAAAUUAUAGUACCUUAAGGGCAAACCUGAGGACACAUAAGGACAUAUAGUUAAUUAAUUAAUUAAUCGGAAGGCUUAUGAUAAAUCAAUCAAUUAAUUAGAAGGCAUAUGGUUAACUAAUUAAAAGUCUGAUUCUUUAUA